rnacentral:rRNA from 1 species
CCUACGGGUGGCAGCAGUGAGGAAUAUUGGUCAAUGGACGAGAGUCUGAACCAGCCAAGUAGCGUGAAGGAUGACUGCCCUAUGGGUUGUAAACUUCUUUUAUAUGGGAAUAAAAUGUUCCACGUGUGGGAUUUUGUAUGUACCAUGUGAAUAAGGAUCGGCUAACUCCGUGCCAGCAGCCGCGGGAAUACGGAGGAUCCGAGCGUUAUCCGGAUUUAUUGGGUUUAAAGGGAGCGUAGGUGGAUUGUUAAGUCAGUUGUGAAAGUUUGCGGCUCAACCGUAAAAUUGCAGUUGAAACUGGCAGUCUUGAGUACAGUAGAGGUGGGCGGAAUUCGUGGUGUAGCGGUGAAAUGCUUAGAUAUCACGAAGAACUCCGAUUGCGAAGGCAGUUCACUGGACUGCAACUGACACUGAGGCUCGAAAGUGUGGGUAUCAAACAGGAUUAGAUACCCGGGUAGUC